AGAAGAAAUCCUCUCCAGAAUGUUUCUAUAAGCUGACUAAUUUCUAUAAUGCCUAAUGUCUGAGUUGUGUUCAUGGUAAUUAUUUCUGACAUUUUUAUGCUUUAUGUUGUAGGUGGUGAAAAAUGCUCUCCAGGGUAAACCGGGUGGACAAAGUAUUUUGGCUGGGAAAACCAGGCAUUCUUCUGUUGGUUCAUGUGCUUCGUCCUACAUCCAAAGGCCACAAGAAGAAUC